GGCUUUACAUCUAGAAGGAGGUCUGAGACUGUCUAUUGAAUUAGCAGCAGCAGCCAUCAGCCAACAAGGGAAGCCAUCUCUUCAUGGAAAGGAAUACCUCUUCGAUUACAAGCUCAGGACUCAGCAAGUGAAUGAGUGAUGGGCAGCGUGACACCCUGGCCACUGGGCACAGCCUCCCCAAGAGACAGAAAGGGCUGGCUCUCUCCCUGACAGGCGGCAAAGUCAGAUUCCUGAGAAUGUCUCCUGCACUCUCUCACCUCUGUCCUUUUUGCAAGCCCUGAGUCUGUUUCCAGCUGGCUUUGUCCUCCACACUAAAUGAGGACCAAGAAAAAUCAACGAUUCUAAGCAUCACAGACUUAGAUAUGCUCUCAAAAGUGAAACCAGGCCGGGCCCAGUGGCUCAUGCCUAUAAUCCCAGCACUUUGGGAGUCUGAGGUGGGUGGAUCACUUGAGGGCAGAAGUUUGAGACCAGUCUGGCCAGCAUGGUUGAAACCCCGUCUCUACUAAAAAUACAAAAUCUAGCUGGGUAGGCUGGUGGGCUCCUGUAAUCCCAGCUACUUGGGAGGCUGAGACAGUAGAAUCGCCUGAAGACAGGAGGUGGAGGUUGCAGUGAACCAAGAUCAUGCUACUGCACUUCAGCUCGGAUGACAGCAAAAUUCCACCCACAAACCCACCCCCCCAACACACACACACAAGUGAAACCAAAUGUCUGAGAAUUCAGGACAAAUUCACAUAUCCCUCCCCUUCUCAAUGGCCUUCAAAGGCUCCCCGUUUCUUUCAAGAGAAGGUUCUAGAAAACGUCUCCCAAACAGACCCUCAAGUCUAUCAGAGUCCGGCCAUCCUCGAUUCCAGCUCCUGCCCAUCCUGACUGCCCAAGCUCUCCAGCUUCCAACGUGGGUUGUGCAUUCUAAGUCUUCAACCAGAAUCCAUUCAGAAAGGCGAUGCGAACAAGAAAUCUCACAGCUGGACUAUGUAUUCUUGAGCCAAUUCUGUCUUCACUGUUAGAAAAGAGCUGAUAGGCCAGGGCUGGUGGCUCACGCCUGUAAUCCCAGCACUUCGGGAGGCAAAGGAGGGAGGAUCACUUGAGCCCAGAAGUUUGAGGCCAGCCUAGGCAACAUGGCAAAACUCUGUCUUUACAAAAAAAUUUAAAAAAUUAGCGGGGUGCAGUGGCAUGUGUCUGUGGUCUUAGCUACUCAGACGGAGGCUGAGGUGGGAGGAUGGCUUGAGCCCAGGAGGCAAAUGUUGCAGUGAGCCAAGACUGCACCAGUGCACUCCAGCCUGGGCAACAGAGUAAGACCCUGUCUCAAAAAAAAAAAAAAAAAAAAAAUAGAACAUAUAGGCCAGGCGCAGUGGCUCAUGCCUAUAAUCCCAGCACUUUGGGAGGCCGAAGCAGGUGGAUCACUUGAGAUCAGGAGUUUGAAGCCAGCCUGGCCAACAUGGUGAAACCCUGUCUCUGUUAAAAAUACGAAAAUUAUCCAGGAGUGGUGACAUGUGCCUGUAAUCCCAGCUACUAGGGAGGUUGAGGCACAGAAUCGUUUGAACCUAGGAGACAGAGGUUGCAGUGAGCUGAGAUUGUGCCACUGCACUCCAGCCUGGGUGACAGAGCGAGACUCCAUCUCAAAAAAAACACGAAAAAACUGUACAAUCUACCUGCCAGGUAGCAUAGGUGAGUACACACCUGCAAGGGAACUGUGUUCUGCUUCCAUCACUGAGUACAAAAGCCGAGGGGCACAAUGUAGCACAUAACCAUUAAGCAGCAUGAUUUUCAUUCAGUAAAUGUAUGCAGAGGGCCCUGUGUUUCCUGGGACUGCCCUGGGAACUAGGCUAGAGCAGUAAACAAGCAUUGUAGUGAAAUAAUAAUAAUGGUGAUGAUAAUCAUAGGAUGGUAGUAAAUUUUAAUUCCUGCUGGAAAGGAAUGAUAAUUAUAAUUCCUGGAGGGGGUGUCCCACGGAAGAUUCAAAUUAUGAUGCUGUUAUUUAGCUUCUGUUCUGAUAAGAGAAGUACUGCAGGUCACCCUGGUCAUCUUUUGGGAGGGUAGCAUCCCCUUGAAGAUGUGCUUGGAGGGUGGCCCAUGGGUUUCUGCUGCUGGGAAGAUGAGGACUGGAGUACCAUCAGACUGAUUCAAGCAGCAGAAGCCCCCUUGCCUGAGCUUAGAAAACCUGAGCAGAGGCCCCAAGAGCAUCUGUCACAUCCGCUAAGUUCAUGGGACUGGGCAGAACCAGCUGUCAAUGGCGCCACCGUGUGGUGGUGAGAAGCAAUGGCGGCUGCCCAAGGAUGAAAUUCCCAUGCUGACCCCACGGGUGUCAAAGUCAUCACUUCCUGUGACAGCUCCCUUUGGGGACUGUGGGUCCCUAGGUCUUCUGGAAAAUUCAGGGUAAGAGAAUACCCUUUAGGAAAAGCUACUGAGUUUUCUGUCAACAUCUACUAAUGUUCUCCCUGUGUUUGUGAAACAAUUCAUAUCACCUAAACUUUCACUAUGUACCAAUACAUAAAAUAUGUAUUAAUACAAUUAGAUGUACUUUGUUUGAAUAAAAAAUAGCACAUUGCAUCA
rnacentral:lncRNA from 13 species